rnacentral:tRNA from 1 species
UAAAAAUUAGUUAACUUAUAACAUAAGCUUGUCAAACUUAAGUAAUCCAAUCGAUAUUUUUAA